AGAAUCAGACACUGAGCCGACUGAGCCACCCAGGCGUCCCUGUCUUUAAUUCUUGAACCUUCACAUAGGAGCAUCUAGGAGUUAACUGCAAUCAGUCUACAUGACUGGGACAUUUCAAGUAAGAAAUAAUGAACAUUUAUGGGGGAAAUUUGGACAAGGAAGAGAGAGAUGUAUGGGGAAAACACCAAGCGAAGACUGAGGGCCACAAUGAUGCAUCUACAAGCCGGGGAACGCCAAAGAUUUCCAAAGAACACAAGAAGCUAGAAGAGGCAAGAAAGGACUCUCGCCUUGAGUCUUCAGAGAGAAUAUGACCCUGCCAACACUUUACUUUAGGACUUCCAGCCCCCAGAACUGGGAGAAAAUGACUAUCUGUUGUUUUAAGCCAUGCAGUGAUUGAUACUUUGUCUCGGCAGCAUUAGGAAAUGAAUACAGGUAAAUACCUAGGAGUAGAAUGAGUAGAUCAUAUGGUAACUGAUGUUUAAUCUAUCAAGAAGCUGCCAGAUUGUUUUCCAUAGCAGCUACCCCAAGUGACUGUUUUUUAAAUAAAUUAUUAAUGGUUUCAAAACCUCCCUCAAAUGCAGAAAGUAAGCUUUCUGUGGAUAACUUUUCCCUCCCAGGUGGUUUGGCCUCCGCCCCCACCAUGGGGAUAGUCUUCCUCACCACCACCUGUAAAACUCCCUAUUUUCUUUAAGAAAAGAACAGUAACAAAUCGUGAUGUCACCAAUGCACUAAUAGAAUGGGGGUAUCUAAGAUGAGCUAUGGCGGAGGAUGCAGAAUAAUCUUAAAGACAUCUAAGUCUGAAGACAGCUGAAGAAUAAAUGGUGUUAAACAGUAAGACAUCGCUUUUAAAGGGAGGAUUUCCUAGCUGAGACAGGAACGAAAAGA